GUUGGUCCAGACCACUCCGUCUGCCCAGAGAAGCCGCGACAGGAGAGUGGUGAUUGGUGCAAGCGACAUGGUAUGAGGGAAACAACCCCCAUAUCCUCAUUAUUUUAUAACAGAAGAAUAGAGAUGACUUGACUGCUUCUAACAUGUAAGUACAUUAACAGUAAGACCUAAGUGCUGUCAGCGCUCCCCCAGAGAAGCCCACACCCGUGCGCCCGGAUAUUUUUCUGAGAAGUUCUCUUUUAACUCUUAGGUUUAAAGUCGAUGGUAAUGAAUAAACCCCAACUCUGCUUCAUUAAAAAUAAUUGAAUGGCGCAGAGAACGUAAGGAUUGAUAAAUAGCUUGUUGAAAAUAUUGUCACGAUUAAAAACUAUUGCCUUUGUAUAUGUAUGUGUGUGUGCGGGUGUGCAUGUGUGUUUGAGGGGCUGUGUGUGGGUGUGUUUGUGUCUUUAGAGGCCAGAGGACAGCUACAGGGGCAGAUUUUCUUCUUUCACCGUUGGAGUCCCAGGGACAAAACUCACCUCCUCGGCCAUGGUGGCAAGUGUCGUCAGCCUCCCCUCCUUCCCCGAGAUCAUCACCAUCACCAUCAUCACCAUCAUCAUCAUCAUCAUCAUCAUGCACUACAGCGCCAUGAUGAAGUAUAAUACAUUUUUUAAAUACA